GACGAACGCUGGCGGCGUGCUUAACACAUGCAAGUCGAACGGAACGGCCCUGCUUUUGGGGGGUGGUCGAGUGGGGAAAGGGGGAGUAACACGUGGGUUAACUGGCCUCUCCUUUGGGGUAAACCGCGGAAAAGGGGGGCAAAACCGGGGAGGAGUUGCUGUUGCAUGGGGGGGGGCGGGGAGAGUCGGCGGUUGGGGGUGGUCUGGCGGGUGAUCAGCUCGUUGGUGGGGUAGUGGCUUACGAAGGCUUGGCCGGGUAGCCGGCCUGAGAGGGUGAGCGGCCACGUUGGGACUGAGAUACGGCCCAGACUCCUACGGGAGGCAGCAGUGGGGAAUAUUGCACAAUGGGCGGGAGCCUGAUGCAGCAACGCCGCGUGCGGGAUGACGGCCUUCGGGUUGUAAACCGCUUUCGCCUGUGACGAGGCGUGAGUGACGGUAAUGGGUAAAGAAGCACCGGCUAACUACGUG
rnacentral:rRNA from 1 species